rnacentral:rRNA from 1 species
UACAGAGGGUGCGAGCGUUAAUCGGAAUUACUGGGCGUAAAGGGCGCGUAGGCGGUUAUAUGAGUGUGAUGUGAAAGCCCCGGGCUUAACCUGGGAAGUGCAUCGCAAACGAUAUAACUGGAGUAGAUGAGAGGGUGGCGGAAUUUCCGGUGUAGCGGUGAAAUGCGUAGAGAUCGGAAGGAACGUCAAUGGCGAAGGCAGCCACCUGGCAUCAUACUGACGCUGAGGCGCGAAAGCGUGGGGAGCGAACAGG